rnacentral:rRNA from 1 species
AGCAGCCGCGGUAAUUCCAGCUCCAAUAGCGUAUAUUAAAGUUGUUGCAGUUAAAAAGCUCGUAGUUGAAUUUCGAGAUCAAUUUGUCGGUCGUGCCUCGGUACGUACUGGCAUUAUUGAUUUCUCCCUUCUGAAGAACCGCGAUGUCAUUAAUUUGGUGUCGUGGGGAAUCAGGACUGUUACUUUGAAAAAAAUUAGAGUGUUUAAAGCAGGCGCACGCUUGAAUACAUUAGCAUGGAAUAAUGAAAUAGGACGUUUUGAUUCUAUUUUGUUGGUUUCUAGGAUCGACGUAAUGAUUAAUAGGGAUAGUUGGGGGCAUUAGUAUUCAAUUGUCAGAGGUGAAAAUUCUUGGAUUUAUUGAAGACUAACUACUGCGAAAAGCAUUUGCCAAGGAUGUUUUCAUUAAAUCAAAGAACGAAAGUUAGGGGAUCGAAGACGAUCAGAUACCGUCGUAGUCUUAACCAUAAACUAUGCCGACUAGGGAUCGGAUGAUGUUAAUUUUUUAAUGACUCAUUCGGCG